rnacentral:lncRNA from 1 species
CAAGUGACAUUAAUUGAUACUGGACACAAUCUGUGAUAUCAGUGAUUAAGUUGGAGUUAUGCAAGUGGAUCAUUUGCCACCAACCAGAAAAUAAGGAUUCCUUUCAAGUGGAUGUGGGAUAUGAAUAUUUUUUGGCACAAGACAGUAGUUCAAUUGGUAAAAAUUUCAUCAAUGGUGACUUUGGAGAAUGUCAUGUUGCAGGUGAAUGUCCUAACCAGGACAAUAUUCAUGCAUUUGAAAAAUCCAGCGUGAGAAACAUAGAAAGGAAGAAGACCAUCACCAGAGAUGAAUGGACAUUUGAUAUUACCAAGAAUAUGCAUAAUGACUUGGAAGUUACCAUUUGAACAAUUGACAUUCUUGAGCAUCUUAGGUUGGAUUUCCUAGGAACAGAACCUGUGACAGGAAUUCAGGUGGAGCUGUUUUAGGCUGGGUGCUGUGGCCCAGGCCUGGAAUCCCAGCACUUCAG